UUAAAGGAUGUGCUGGACCACAAGUUGCUGGAAAAUCAUUGGUGGACCUGUACACAGCAGCAGCA